ensembl:snRNA U6 U6 spliceosomal RNA
GUGUUCACUUCAGCCGCAUAUUUACUAAAAUUGAAUGAUACAGAGAUUAGCCUGGCCUCUGUGCAAGGAUGACCUACAAAUUCGUGAAGCAGGUUGGAUAAUA